GACGAACGCUGGCGGUGUGCUUAACACAUGCAAGUCGAACGGAAAGGCCCUGCUUUUGUGGGGUGCUCGAGUGGCGAACGGGUGAGUAACACGUGAGUAGCCUGCCCUUGACUUUGGGAUAACUUCAGGAAACUGGGGCUAAUACCGGAUAGGAGCUCCUGCUGCAUGGUGGGGGUUGGAAAGUUUCGGCGGUUGGGGAUGGACUCGCGGCUUAUCAGCUUGUUGGUGGGGUAGUGGCUUACCAAGGCUUUGACGGGUAGCCGGCCUGAGAGGGUGACCGGCCACAUGGGGACUGAGAGACGGCCCAGACUCCUACGGGAGGCAGCAGUGGGGAAUAUGGCACAAUGGGCGGAAGCCUGAUGCAGCAACGCCGCGUGCGGGAUGACGGCCUUCGGGUUGUAAACCGCUGUCGCCGGUGACGAAGCGUGAGUGACGGUAAUGGGUAAAGAAGCACCGGCUAACUACGUG
rnacentral:rRNA from 1 species